GCUCUUUUGAGCUCAGUUUAUCUGACCCAGUUUGGAUGUAUAGUUCAAGACGAGCUGGGUAGUUACUUGGGCUCCACUGAGGAAGCCUCAGCUGACUCCAGCGUGCCGGUGUCAGUGUAUGCCUGUAGGCAUUAGCUUAGUUGGAAGACCAUCUACUUAGAGGUCCUAAAAAAGUCUCUUUUCUUGAGGUGUGGCAUGGAUCCAAGACUGCUCAGUCCUACCAGGAAGUAGACCAGUGGCUAGUUCAGAGUGUGGAAGCAGGAUUUGAGGCAUCAAGGUGAUUUCUCUUGGAGCUACUGGAGUAUAAAUCAUCUAUUGGUGAUUUCUGAGAGGUCUCCCUGCAGGGCAGGGGCAGCCACCUCUCAUCUCCUGAGGACAGUUUCUCAGCGGCAGCGUUCAAGCAGUUGUGGAUCAUCUCUCUUGAAGCGUGAGUGAGAGCAGAAGAGUAACUAGAAGAUGCGAAGGUGAAGAGUUCGUUGCUAUCAGUUUGGGACUUAAAGACACUAAGAUACAGGGAGUAAGAGUUUUGAUUGCUAAAGACAAAUAUGGGUAUUAAAACGGUCUGUUGGUCAGAUCAGUCCUACAGCUUAGGCUGACUACAACAAGAUCCGUUGCAAACAUAUGCUGAUUUAUCUUUUCAUUCUGUGGGAUCAAAGUUCCAUAUAAGGAAGUAAGACAUAAUUGCUGAAGACCAAUCUAAUCAUACAGUCAUCAAGGUUGGUUCAACCUUGGAUAUAACCCAGGUCUAUUUUAUCCAUAUUUCUCCUAUUCAGCAAUGUUACCUCUGCUACACCUGGAAACAGCCAGAGAAAGAAGUGAAAAUCAGAACAUUUACUGUUACCCUCAUCUUCUCUGUUACUGGGGCAUGUUUCCUUGGAACCUCCAUCCCUCCCACCAGAAUACUGUCAGCAUUGGUUGCUGUGUGGAGAAAAGUGACAUAUCUCCAUGAGCAGCAACUGAGGGAGGCCUUUUGUAUUAGUGGCAUAUUCUGGUGCAUCUAUACAGAUUUAAGUUGAAGAAUAAAAGCUUUUCGUGCUUUUAGUCCAAAAAUCUCUCGCAGGUCCUUUCCUUCCCAGUACUCCACCCUUAAAGCAGCUCAGUGCUGGUUCUUUGCCCGCCUGGGUUGCCGUUCUGC
ensembl:lncRNA